ACACCACUACAUAGCGUCCGUUGCCCCUCCGGAGGCGGUCGUCGUGGUUUUCCGUCCUACACGCGCGCUCCCGCAGUGGGUCAUUGCUCUACGCUUUUUGUUGAAUAAUAUUAUUACAGCCAGAGAUAUAAGUGUCAACGGAUUGUCAGCUGAAGCAAAUUGCAGAUGACAGGUGCCACAUUUCACGGCCGAGUAAUCCAGACGACGAAAGGACUCCCCUUCGGUUUUACACAAAACUAUCUUGUGCUCCGAUUGUGAGACUUGGAAUCUGACUGCAGUGGUAAAAACGUACAGAGAAAAUACGCUCGUUGCGACAGACGUUAUUUUUGGCCGCGACGAUGGAUACGUCACGUACCGAAUGAUUAUUCUCGCGUUUAUAUUAGUUUUAUUUUCUAAGGGCCCAGCUGAAAAGUUAUAGCUGAUAAAAAUGUAUAUAUGGUAUUUAAACUGUCAAGACGGUGAUACCAAAAGGUACAACCAUCGUGAGCGCGGCAAUCGAACGUUGACGCGCGUAUGGAGUUUGUUUGUUACCCCGUCGAGGACUUCCAAAGAAACUUCGCUGUUUCUUUUGGGAUUUAUGCGCCAGUCAUGGCGUCGUCUGGUUCGUGUCAAUCGACAGGUUUCGAUCGUGAGACCAUACCCUCGCCUUCCUGGCCUUCCUCAUGGUUCAGACGCUUACAAUCGGCUACAAAGAACUGGGGAUGGUCAUAAAAAAAAAAAAAAAAAAAAAAAAACGAAAAAUAUU